ensembl:lncRNA
AUUGCUUCCUUACUGUUGCCAAGAAAACUGCUUGUUUGUGCCCACANUGUCACCAAAGCUGAGCCUGAUCUGAAGGCUUAUUUAUUUUCUAGACAACUAAGUCACAUUUAAUUUUAUUUAUGAACUAUGAGAUAAAGACAGGUCAAGAGGCUGAACACUGACAUAUUGCCACCAGGAAUCAAGGUGACUCAACAACACCUGCACAGUGUGGUUUAUGCUNGCUCUUAAACGGAGAGCAUGCAGGAUUGUCUAAGGAUCCAUCUACACCUAAGUCUUAAUCCAGCUNCAGCCCACCUUCAGAGUGAGAGAAGACUAGUCACUUUCCACAUUAGAUAAUGUUGAAAUAAAACAGCUUGUCACUCUGAUGUGUUCUCACAUGCUGAAAGUGGACGGAAGCUGAAUUAAAACUUAGGCGUACAUGGAUCUUAAGAGUAGCAUGAAUCAAUCUGGUUCAACGUAGUACUCAAUGGAAAGCGACAUCUCUCUCCCCGCCCCCCCGCGCUUUUAAAAACGUCUUUUAGACGGCCAUUCAUUUUCUCCCCCUUGGUAUUGCCCACCCUUCAACCCAUCUAGAAAAGUCCCCAGCUCGGACUCCACUACAUCCAGCCCUCCGUUGACUUUCCCCACCAGGGCAAUUUCGUCCCCCCAAAGCUGGAUUCAUUCUCCCUCGAAAGUGCACGCACAUUAAUGGUCUCUGGAUCUUUCCUUGGGUCUCCAAGCCACGUCUGUGGCAUCGUUAGCAGCCUAGAAAAAAGGCGGUUGGAGGGCCGUUUCCUAUUGCACAAGGAUCCUAAAAAUUCAGCCCUCGCAAUAAACGAUCGGAAUCAACGUGGGAACGGGAGGCACUUCUGAAAGUUAAGUGGUACACAAAAAGCGCGAAACGUGUUUAAAGAGGAUGGCGUGCCCUACCCUGCCUUGCCUGCCGGGUAAGAAAACAUUGUUGAGAAUUAAACACGCCUCUGGAAGAGCAGUUACCUGGGAAUUUGGCGCCACAAAUGCCCCCCGCGCAGGAAACUUCGCCACUCCCCCCGCUUCAGAAGUUCAGAGUUUCAGUCGCUUCCCUUCGCGCAAACACGUGUCGAACCGACCCCUGGCUGUAUGCCCACUCGCUCUCUCUAAAUCUACCGGCAGGUGGCGCCCGGACCUGGUGCUAUGAAUUUAAUACGUCACACUGUUUCCGGCCAAUGGUAGCUUCACAACCAUCUAGAGUACACAGACUCAAGCUUCGAAAUGAUCACACGACGAUGAUCACAAAUUCCCGCCUGAAGAUUAAGACCACGCCAGCGACUAUAGGAAAUUUAAUAACCACGACAACACAAGGAAGCUCUUAUAACAUUGUGAAGCAUGGAAACAAGAUAGUACAAUUUUAUAUUCUGCAACCUCGAGGCAAAUCAACCCUGGUGAUCAAUGGAGUGACAGAUGUGACAGGUUAUUUUCACAAAAGUCCACAAAACAGCUUUGGGUGGAUACCUAUUGUAAAAAGAAAAAAAAAAGGUAUUUUUUAGUCUGGAAUAUAAAUUUCACUUUUGUAGAUAUUAUGUACUCCAUCUUCCAUCUUUUCUAAUGUCCUUUCCCC